UCCAGGAACCUCCCAGGUUCUCAGUGGCAGACUGGGACCAUGGAGGCAUCCAGCCUUGUGGACUGAGCAGGUGCUGGGUUAUCGGUCCUUUCAAGGAGAGACAGCCAUUGUGGGAUUACUCAGACUACGAUGACCGCCAGGUUCAGAGGCAAGCAAGUACUGGAGGCUCAGCUUCCCAGGAACUCAGGAGCAGUUUGGCUGUACCAUUCUACCUCUGAAUCCACCACGAUGUUCCAGUCAGGACGAUGACCAAGGCUGGGAUCGUCAGAAGACUUGACGGAGGAUGGAGGGUCGACUUUGAAGGCCUCUCACACAGCCGACUUGAAACAUCUGUACUCUUCUCUGUGAUGGCCGUAUGCACCAGGCGAGAUUGUCACGAGGGUCUUAUUGCCUAUGGCCUGAUUGACCAGGGAAACCACAUGGCCACAGAGGACAACGCCCAGUAUUUGUCAUAGGAAGACACUCAACACUGGCUCACUGAUGCCAUCAACAAGUGUCACCCUUCGCAUGACGAUUGUCACUUAACUCUCUAAACCACUCACCAGUAGCUUACAUCACAAGCUGCUACCAUAUCUACUUUCCGAGUAUGCCAGUCACCUUAGAAUAAAUCCAUCUCAGACAAUAGAGACAAGAAUUCCA